rnacentral:rRNA from 1 species
CACGCUGUAAACGAUGAGUGCUAGGUGUCGGGGGUCAAACCUCGGUGCCGCCGUUAACACAUUAAGCACUCCGCCUGGGGAGUACGUUCGCAAGAAUGAAACUCAAAGGAAUUGACGGGGACCCGCACAAGCAGCGGAGCAUGUGGUUUAAUUCGAUGCAACGCGAAGAACCUUACCAGGGCUUGACAUCCCUCAGACUGGAUUAGAGAUAAUUCUUUCCCUUCUGGGACUGAGGAGACAGGUGG